CAAAUCUUCAUCUUCUUCAAAACAAUACACCCUACCCAUCCUUUAUCUUCUCCAAUACCCCCACCCUCCAAAUCAAAUCAAAAUUAGAAAAUCAUUGAACCAUAGCCAGCCCUUCAAGUAGCAAAUCAGUCAAGCUGAGAGGGGAAACCAAAAAACCUACUGCUCGUUUCAGCAUUUAAAGCUUGGCUCUGCUCAUGCUCUCACUUACAUCAAGAACAGUAACCAAUCAAUAGGCAUAUGUCGCGUCAGGUACAGGACAUGGGUCAGUGGUGUAAAGGCAAUAUAGGAGCUUUAACCCUCAAAACGAUGGUGUACGUACCUCAACCAAUAAAGGCAUAUGUCGCUGAAAUAACAACAACCUCAACCAAUAAAAUUACCUCCAUAUCAUCUUUGUGUUGUAGGUAAGAACCAUUGCUCGAAAUUGGAUGGGUAAUUUUUGCAUCUGCUAAAACCUAUGGCUCAUCAUUAAAUGCUCUUAUUUCUUGUUAGGUAAUUUUUGUAGAUUAUAACACUCUUAUCAUGUUUGGUUUCAUCAAUUUCUAUUUGUUCUUGAAGUUUCUGGAUAUUGGCUAGUAAAGGGAUAUCUUUCCAUGUGAUCAACGGUGGUCGGAUGCGUUUUUGGUUUUGAUUUGGGUUGGGGAUUGGAUGUUUUGAAAAAGACGAAGAUUUGAGGUAGGGUGGGGGUGGCGACUGAGGCAUGGGAACGGGCCUUUUACUUUUAAUUUAAUUGUUAAUAUUUGUGAAAAUGUAAAUUUAACAUUUUUACCCUUUUACAAUUUGUCAAAGGAUUAAACCAGAUGGUUCACAGCCCCCUCACAAUGAGGGGGCCCCAC
rnacentral:lncRNA from 1 species